rnacentral:rRNA from 1 species
GACGAACGCUGGCGGCGUGCUUAACACAUGCAAGUCGAACGAAGAGCGAUGGAAGCUUGCUUCUAUCAAUCUUAGUGGCGAACGGGUGAGUAACGCGUAAUCAACCUGCCCUUCAGAGGGGGACAACAGUUGGAAACGACUGCUAAUACCGCAUACGAUCUAAUCUCGGCAUCGAGGAUAGAUGAAAGGUGGCCUCUACAUGUAAGCUAUCACUGAAGGAGGGGAUUGCGUCUGAUUAGCUAGUUGGAGGGGUAACGGCCCACCAAGACGAUGAUCAGUAGCCGGUCUGAGAGGAUGAACGGCCACAUUGGGACUGAGACACGGCCCAGACUCCUACGGGAGGCAGCAGUGGGGAAUCUUCCGCAAUGGACGAAAGUCUGACGGAGCAACGCCGCGUGAGUGAUGACGGCCUUCGGGUUGUAAAGCUCUGUUAAUCGGGACGAAAGGCCUUCUUGCGAAUAGUGAGAAGGAUUGACGGUACCGGAAUAGAAAGCCACGGCUAACUACGU